rnacentral:tRNA from 1 species
GCCUGUCUAGCUCAGUGGGUAGAGCGUAAGGCUUUAACUUUGUGGUCAUGGAUUCAAGCCCCACGGUGGGUG